UACGGGGGGGGCAAGCGUUGUUCGGAAUUACUGGGCGUAAAGGGCUCGUAGGCGGCCAACUAAGUCAGACGUGAAAUCCCUCGGCUUAACCGGGGAACUGCGUCUGAUACUGGAUGGCUUGAGUUUGGGAGAGGGAUGCGGAAUUCCAGGUGUAGCGGUGAAAUGCGUAGAUAUCUGGAGGAACACCGGUAGCGAAGGCGGCAUCCUGGACCAACACUGACGCUGAGGAGCGAAAGCGUGGGGAGCAAACAGGG
rnacentral:rRNA from 1 species